ensembl:lncRNA
AUGCCAAACAGACUCAGUAUUGGUGAUCUAAAUAAAAAAGACCUGUUCUCUAUAGAGACUGUGGACUUGAUGGACAGGACGGGAGAGCUGGUGAACUUGGCUGAGAGAGAGCAGAGCACCGACCUCGUCAGCAGUUUGCUGAAGGAGAGAGAGAGCUAUAUUCCAUUACGUGUAUCACGAGGUGAAGGCAGUGAAGGUCCAAAGUAUACUGCAGUGUAUGACUUUGGGACAAGUUACCCUGAGCUAGCAGGCAAUGCUUCUAUUUUUCAUUCAUUAAUCUGUAAUUUAUUAAAAAGGAAGAAAUUGAUAUCAAGAAAAACACUCCUUACUGCUUUUUUUCAUUGUAUUGUUCUUUUAAAGGAUUUUCCCACCAAUCUAAUGAAACUAAAAUUGAUGCUUACUAAUCAGCUGAAGUAUAGCAAAAUUGUUGUGGCUAUUUCACAUAAUAUCUGAAGUUGUUGGUUCUCUCUUUAAUGUAAUAUUUCUUUCUGCUAAAUUUAGAGAUUCUGAGAAAACUGUCAAAUCCUUCAAAGGAGCGGGACAAAAGGGGUGGAGCAUCUAAAAGGGGAGGAGUCAGUCAACACCGCAUCAAAGCUGCCAUCAACUUUAAGAAAGCCAUCACAACACCUCGGAGCUGAAAACACUCUCUUACUAUUUCCUUGUGUUCUUUAACAAUUUUAUAAAUAUUUUAGAAUUGGUUAUAUCAUAUAUAUCAAUGUGAAGAAUAUUUUUUGUUUGUGUAUAUACACAACCAUUCAAAAGUUUGGGGUCACUAUGAUUGAAAAAAAAAAGAAAUUAAUAAUUUUAUUCAGCAACAAUGUAUUAAAUUGAUCAAGAGAGAUAUUUAUAAUGUUACAAAAUAAUUAUAUUUUAAAUAAAUUCAGUUUUGUAAACUUUCUAUUAAUCA